AUCCAGCUGACGAGUACCAAAUAGGACGAGACGCCCGUCCUGGAU
rfam:Schistosoma mansoni, Puerto Rico, WGS project CABG01000000 data, contig: 0142